rnacentral:lncRNA from 1 species
ACUGCCAACGAUAUCCCAAGUGAUAUCUUUGAGGUCCAAGGUUAUCCAACCCUGUACUUCAGGUCAUCAAGUGGAACUCUAUCACAAUACGACGGUGGUAGGACCAAGGAAGACAUCAUAGAAUUCAUUGAAAAGAACCGGGACAAACCUGCCCAGCAAGAACAAGAUAAACCUGCUCAUCAAGAACAAGUAAAAGAUGAGCAAGAAACAGGAAAAGAUGAGCUUUG